rnacentral:rRNA from 1 species
AGUGAACGCUGGCGGUAGGCCUAACACAUGCAAGUCGAACGGCCGCACAGUAAGAGCUUGCUCUUACGGGUGGCGAGUGGCGGACGGGUGAGGAAUACAUCGGAAUCUACUUUUUCGUGGGGGAUAACGUAGGGAAACUUACGCUAAUACCGCAUACGACCUACGGGUGAAAGCAGGGGAUCUUCGGACCUUGCGCGAUUGAAUGAGCCGAUGUCGGAUUAGCUAGUUGGCGAGGUAAAGGCCCACCAAGGCGACGAUCCGUAGCUGGUCUGAGAGGAUGAUCAGCCACACUGGAACUGAGACACGGUCCAGACUCCUACGGGAGGCAGCAGUGGGGAAUAUUGGACAAUGGGCGCAAGCCUGAUCCAGCCAUACCGCGUGGGUGAAGAAGGCCUUCGGGUUGUAAAGCCCUUUUGUUGGGAAAGAAAAGCAGCAGGUUAAUACCCCGCUGUUCCGACGGUACCCAAAGAAUAAGCACCGGCUAACUUCGUG